UGUGCUUAUAAGUUGCCUGCUUUAACAUGUAAAUAAACCCUCUCAUUUUUUUUCCUAGGUAAUAAAUCCUUAAUUAGUUUAUUACAGGAUUGGCUACCAGCAUUGUUUUUGGUGUUAGAUCUAAGGUACAAACUGAUCUGGGAAGUGACUGCCAGACCGCCACUAUGCUGUUCAUGUCAGGACUCAAAUUGCAUACCUUGGGAGUGUUUUUAUUAAUUACAGGGCAUUGCCACCUAGGGCUUUCUGGCAAGAAAUAAAGACAGUAAAAAGAAGCAUGCCAGAUGAACAACGCGAAAAAUGAAGCUAAACAGAGAUGUUUCUUCCAUAUGGAAAAGGGACAGAAGGGGCAACAGAGCUCAAAAAGUGGAAACUGCUGAUACACAAGGGGAUAUGGCCAAAGCAGCUGAAGACAACUGAUUCCACAGCAAUUCUCAAUUACUUCUGUUAUCAAGCUUCCAUAGCAGCCUUGAUGUAACUUAAAUCUGCUUUCCCCACCCCAUGAGAGAACCAGGCAACAUGACAUCCCAUCACAGAACCAACUUCUCCCUUCUCUUUCAAUGGGUUUACAUGGCACAUGGAAAGUAGUCCUCCCUGCAGCAGCUUUCCUGGAUGUAGCCCUGGGUUUUUACUAGAAACCUUCAUUAUAAAAGCCACCAUUUUCCUCUUGUCCAUCAAGAAACAGCUUUGCCUGGCAGACAACAUCACUAGCCCCAAAUCAGGAUACUCCCAGUCUCAACUGCAAGUAGAUCCAGACCGCAACAGUUAUCUCUAGUCAGGAGGUCAUGAUGAGGGAUGCUACAGAACCCUAUCAAGACUAUGUCUUUAAUUGGAAACCUAUGGUAAAGGGGCUUUACCCACCAGACAAGGACAAUUCUCUGCACCCCAUUUGCCCCAACAGCCCCCAAUAUAAAAGCUCUGUUCCUUCUGGAAGUGAGGCAGUGUGUUCAAUAGCUAGAUUUUCGAAGUAAGAGUCAUAACUUAUUGCAGAUAUACCACCCCAUUUCUCCAGGAGGUAAAUGAGAUGGGAUGUAUGAGAAACGUUACAUACAAGCAGUAAGUAGCUUUUAAAUUCAGCCGCGUGAUCAUUUAAUUUAAAAUUCUACUUAAAAAAUAUCACAUGACAAGCUUUAACCCUGAGACAAUUUUAUGGCCAACAUAUAAACCCCCGAUGAACAAGCUCAGCAACAGAAAUGCUGAUGAUUCUUUGCAGCACAAUGCCAGAGUAAUAAAUAGGUGUAUAUUCUUUGGGAAUGCAUUGCAAAGCUGUCUUCAG